CACACGGAUCCCCCUGGAGCGGGUCGGGUCGCGUGCGGGUCUAAGGCAAAACGGCGCCGUUUUGGUGCCUGAGAAGGCUGCCCAAAACGACGUCGUUUUGGAAGCCUAUUUAAGCUAAAGCUUUUUCAAAAUUUUCAUUCUUCCCUUCAUUUCUCCAAAAAAUUUUUGAAAAUGCUCUCAAUUCCUUUCCCCCAUUCCGGGCACUACCCAGAAUCCGGUGAACAGCGCCGUGUACGGUGGCCGGAAAAUUUGAAAAGGUACUUGAUGGCAAGGCAAGGGCUGUGGAGCAGAGGGUCGGUGGCAAAGGCAAGUGCACCACUUGCUGUUGACGGGACAGUGGCGGCUGAUUGGCUGUUGGGCCUGAUGUAUUUGGGCCACCUACUCUGUUGGGCCCGGGCAAAUGGGCUCGUACAAACAUAAUUUUCAAAUUUGUAAGCUUCAAGUAAAUAUCUUAAAAUGAUUUACUUCCCUCACUUAAAAGGUUAGAUGCAUGAAUUGUUUGACCAUUAAUUUUGUUUUUGUUUCCCUCAUUUCAAAUAUAUGAAAUUUUUUAUCACUCAAAUAAAA